CACCUAUAUAUCUUUAUGGAAGAGAUGGGACUCGGUUUCAGGAUGGACAUGAAGACAAUUUUACUAUUAUGGUUGGGGACAUAGGAACGCCGUUUAAGAUUCGGGUUGGCCACACAAAUUCUGGACAUUCCCCUUCCUGGCACUGUAAGAGGAUAGAAUUGCAAAACAUGAAUUCUGGAGAAAAAUUUUAUAUUCCUGUUCAAAGAUGGCUGGCACAAGAGCAAGAGGAUGGAGAAAUCUGUCGAGAAUUUCCUAUUUUAUGUAAAGGACAACCUGUCCUUCCAGUGACAACAUACAAGGUAUAUAUUACAACAGGGGAGCUCUGGAACUCUGGAACAAUAGCCAAUGUCUACCUUUCUAUCUAUGGGGAAAAAGGAGAUACAGGAUCCAG
rnacentral:lncRNA from 1 species